CCUCAUAAAUUUUACCAUCCCCUUUUCAUUGCUUUCUUGCAAUACUAAGCUUACUGUUUGUGUCAUAUAUGUGCAUAUGUAUGUAAUCAGAAUCUUCCAUAGAUUUUAUAUCCAGUAUAUAAAAUGGUAAAAUAUAAUUUCUUUUGGGUGUAUCCAUGGCAACAAUCUGCACUUAUUUGCUAUACAAUAUUGCAAAAAGGGGGAAAAAGAU
rnacentral:lncRNA from 1 species